GGAGAAAUUUGGGGCACUACUGGAUAUGUGAACAGUACCAAAAAUCCUAUAUUUUGGGAGAAAUGGGGAGAUGGAGGAUGUCGCUGGAGAUGGCCUAAAUCACGGUCUCUGGGUCUCUGGCACCCCCGUGCUUGCUUCCUUUCCAUCAUUCCGCUCCCCACACACCCUGCCUGUUUGGGUCGUGGCGGAGUUCCUGGCUGGCGGCCUCCCCAUUCCUCCUCCUCCUCCUUUCCCGCCUGGUGGCCACGGCGUCGCUCCCUCCCUCGCGAAUUGGGUAGCGGGGGCUCGAGGGUUCCUUCGUCCCCUGGUGAGUAAUCCGAGCUUUCCUCGGACGGGUACCCUUGUUGCGAGAGCCGGUCUGGUGCCCAGCCGGAUCUGCGCGCAUUUCUUCCUCCCCUCUCUGUCCGCUCGGGGGUUCAUGUGCCACGUGGUACCCCAGAGAUCCAACUCGUGCCUGUAUCUGCAGUUGGGUUGGGCUCUCUUGGUGGCGUUCUUCAGCGUGCGAGGUGGAUCCUCCGAUCUCAGUGGGUGCAGCGCCGUAGAACACCUUUGUGCCCAAUUGAGAUCGAGUUUCGGCAACAACUCUCCAGUUCGUUCAGUACAUCUACGAUGGCUUCCCUCGCUCCCAGACUCGGGGGUUGGGCACAAAUAACUACUCGACAUGGCUUCUACGGCUCCCCUAGCUCGAUUUGGAUUUAAGGAUCGGGGCUGCAGGAUAUGUGUCAUCAGGCAUUUGUUUUUCAAAUCUAUUUGGAAGACAAAAGAAAGAAGAUUUAAGACUAAUUUGAUCCUCAGUCUGAUUCUUCGAUUCAACUUAAAAUUUGGAGGCUACUUCAUAUGGAGUGCGAUUUGACUAAAGACUACUCGCGGCUUAAGCAUCUUACAGCCUCGAGGCAGUCAAGAAAGUACUCCGGAAGACACAUUUCAGGCAAAGUUCAAAAGACUCGAAGAUGACUCCAGAAGUACAUUGAAGUCGGCAGUACUCGGUUAUAAAAAGAGCUCGGGGACUUAUUAGGGAUAGAUCCCAGGUACCCGCAGAAAAAAUAAGUCGAACUUCUACUAGGAUUCAUUCGUAAUCCUAAUAGAAUUUUAUCCUGUAAUUAUAUUGGGACUCUUACCUUGUAACCGGCUAUUAACCCGCCCCCUAGGAUAUAUAAAGGAGAGUAGGGGUAUCUA